CCAGUGAGACAGACCACUUCUGUUGCCUGCCUAUCAAGAUGUAGGACUCUCAGCUCCAGCACUAUGUCUGCCUGAAUGCUGCCAUGUCACACCGUAAUGAUAAUGACCUAAAUCUCUCAAAAUCAUAAACCAGAUGGAGACCUGACCUGUGCCAGGCACACUCCAGGCACUGGAAUUCAGCGCUCAACAAAAAAGACAAAGCCUUGACAUGUGAAGUAGAUGGCAGGGUUGUCACUGCUGGAUGGUGGUCACCCUGUGUGACUUCCCUUCUGUAUCUAUGCACUCACAGGACCCAAGUGGAGAGGAGGUAUGUACUUCUGCAGGAUGCUUGACUGAACUUACUUAUGAUCUGCAUGCUGGUCAGGUCGAUGCGGAUCUUCUGGAAACUGGAAAAGCCAGCAGCUGUGUAAUCCUUCCGACAAUGACAGUCAUCCCGCCGGCUCCCGUUAUAGGGACAUUCUGUUGGGUUGUGCAACCUAAGCAAUGGCAACAGCAUUGAGGUAAGAAUGGGAAAUUUUCUCUAGGAGCCUCCAGGCAUCUAAACUCUUCUGGGACUGAGCCUCCUACCUGUGCCCGUAAACUUCGGAGAAAUUCUCUGAGUCACCAUGGGCCAGUGUCACAUACUCCUUGGGAUAGUCGGAAUGCAUUCCUGCACAGAAUACCUGCAAGACACACGAGGAAGAACUCAACAGAGGCAGCCAGAGAGUGCUGAGAGCAGAGAUGACUGUGAAAACAUUCUGGAAACUGACUGACUUCAACACUCACCUUUAGGGGCUUCCCUCUAACAAUCAGGAAAUAUUCACCAUCUGCACUGGCA